UGCGUAGGCGGUGCGGUAAGUCUUUGUGAAAUCUCCGGGCUCAACUCGGAGUCUGCAGGAGAAACUGCCGUGCUUGAGUAUGGGAGAGGUGAGUGGAAUUCCUGGUGUAGCGGUGAAAUGCGUAGAUAUCAGGAGGAACACCUGUGGCGAAAGCGGCUCACUGGACCAUAACUGACGCUGAGGCACGAAAGCUAGGGGAGCAAACAG
rnacentral:rRNA from 1 species